rnacentral:rRNA from 1 species
UGGGUGGCGAGCGGCGGACGGGUGAGUAAUGCCUGGGAAAUUGCCCGGUAGAGGGGGAUAACCAUUGGAAACGAUGGCUAAUACCGCAUAACCUCGCAAGAGCAAAGCAGGGGACCUUCGGGCCUUGUGCUACCGGAUAUGCCCAGGUGGGAUUAGCUAGUUGGUGAGGUAAGGGCUCACCAAGGCGACGAUCCCUAGCUGGUCUGAGAGGAUGAUCAGCCACACUGGAACUGAGACACGGUCCAGACUCCUACG